rnacentral:misc_RNA from 1 species
AACAGCUUACUACCUAAAGCCACAUACCGAACUGCACUGAACUGUAAACAACCUAUUCCAUAUUAUAGUUCAUUGUAAUGUGGCCGGUUAAGUGCGAUUAAGUACUGUUGAUUAAUAGCAUUUUCAGUAUUCAUAAAUCAGUAGCACGAUAUGUCGAGGAAUGUCAUAGAAUUGCAGCGGAAACGGUUGAUGGAUGCUUUCCAAUGUGAUUGUCAGACAUUAUUAACACGUUUCGAAUUAACUUACAACACUCACUUUCAAAAUUUCUGUGAAAUUUGGAGAGAGAUGCAGUUCUCAUUGAUAUUUGAGUGUCAACCCUCUGAAAUAAUUUUAAGAAUUUUUUAUGAAAAUGCUCUUCAUAUAACAAAACAGUUUAUGGUGAAUGCAUCUAAUCUGAAAGAACGUAUUGGUGCUCUAUAUCUUAUGUACAGUGUAUAUUAUAUGGUAACAGAUAAGGCAAAAUUUAGAAUGACUUUGUCAGACUGGAAAUGUUUAAUGGAUCUACAUCAGAAAGUUAAAGUGGAAGAAUAUCUCGAUGCUAACUAUAUUUUGUGUAAAUUAAUUGUUGAUCGUGCAUUUAUCCACUGUCUUAGCGACAUUGAGUAUGGUAUUGAGAAACAUUCCCAAAAGAACAUGGCAGGAUUUGGAGUAGAAUAUAACUUAAUGGCAGAGAUCAAAGAACUGGCAGCACCUUGGAAGUUGUUAUCAACAAUCAACGAUUUAAGCAAAAUAUAUGAGGAAAAGAAGCAUAUACUUUUCAACGAGGAAGAAAUUUCUAGUGUACAACUUUAUAAUUCAAAGAUGGCAGAUGAUAUCAUCAAAAGUAUUCGUACAAUGCAAUCAAAGAACACAAUACUUUCCACAAAUAUUCUUCAGAACACCUGUAGUGAUGAACCGAUACCGUCAACGUCAACGUCAACAUCAGAGUCAGCGUUAGCGUCAGCAUCAACGUCGUCAUCAAUGACAUCAGUGUCAACAUCUGACAGCCAGAAUAGUCAGCUAAGAAACAAAAAACGCCGACUACAUAUACAACGUCGAAAAAAAUUGAUCCUGGCUAAGAUAGGCAAUGCAUUCGAAACAGCACUACAAUCAGAAUCUGAGGAAGAAACACACAUGGAAAUUGAUUCUGAUAUAGAUCCUUUGGAAGGCGUGUAAAGGAAAUUUAAUUGUUUUAGAGGACGAAGCAGGAUUAUAACUAAAAAAUUAACGUCUUCAAGAGAUUCAGUUAUCAAAUAGUUUUUCGAACUACUUCAAGGUGAGAGGAUUACAUGUGGAAAAUAAGUUUUCAAGACGUCCAAGAUCUUUCCAAAUCCCCGACUUCGAAUAUCAUUCGAAAUUCCACAAGCUUCAUAGAUAC